GUCUAUGCCCAUACCAUGCUCGAUGCACCUGAUCUCGUGUGAUCUGAGAAGCUAAACUGGGUCGGGCCUGUUAGUACUUGGAUGGGAGAAAUAAAUGCAAUUUUAGAAG
rnacentral:rRNA from 1 species